UCCAAAAUAAAUUGCAAAAAGGUCCUUAAGAAAUCAUGAUUUUCGGCAGCAAAAUAACGCGGAGCGACUUGCAGGUGUCGCUCCGGGAAGUCGCUCCAGGGCCGAUUUUUGGUGUCUCCGGGCGAGAGGUCGCGAGCGACUUUGGUGUGUCGCUCCAACGGGUCGCUCUGGAUCGGGAGCGACCUUGGUAGGUCGCUCUGAGAGGUCGCUCCAGGCUUCGCUUCGUGUCGUCUCUCCAUAAAGACGCGAGCGACCUCGGGGUGUCGCUUUGGGAGGUCGCUCCGAGAGGGGUGUGAGAUGCGAGCGACUUCGUGGUGUCGCUCCGGGAGGUCGCUCUGGGCUCGUUCUC
rnacentral:lncRNA from 1 species